rnacentral:rRNA from 1 species
CCUACGGGUGACAGCAGUGGGGAAUAUUGGGCAAUGGAGGCAACUCUGACCCAGCAACGCCGCGUGAAUGAUGAAGGUCUUCGGAUUGUAAAGUUCUGUGAUGGGGGAUGAACACAAUGACGGUACCCCAAUAGCAAGCCACGGCUAACUACGGGCCAGCAGCCGCGUUAAUACGUAGGUGGGAAGCGUUAUCCGGAUUGACUGGGCGUAAGGGGUGCGUAGGUGGUCUAGCAAGUUGGCGGUGUAAUUCCGGGGCUCAACCCCGGCGCUACAGCUGAAACUAUUAGACUAGAGUGCCGGAGAGGUAAGUGGAAUUCCUAGUGUAGCGGUGGAAUGCGUAGAUAUUAGGAGGAACAUCAGGGGCGAAGGCGACUUACUGGACUGUAACUGACACUGAGGCACGAAAGCGUGGGGAGCAAACAGGAUUAGAUACCCUAGUAGUC